GCUACAGAUGGGCUUUGGGGUCCCUCCCUUGGGGCUGAUCCCCAGACCAACAUAUUUCCCUGAUUUCCCUGGGGGUGUUGUCCACUAGGGGCAAUCUGAGAAGACCCCAGCCCUCAGCACACUGGGUUGCAGCAGAGGAAUAGUGAGGGGAACCAAGCCCCGCUGAGAUUUGCUGCCAAGCCCAGGGGUUCCUCUGGGGAAGCCGUGGGGGGUGGCAGAGGUGAGGCUGUGAGCCAGGCCGUCUUCAGUCUCCCUGUAGAGACACACAGCCAUUCACGGGCCCUGUACACCGGCAGGACACCCUGGCUCUGGUGUGCAAGAUGAACUCUUGGGCGGGGGCUGGGGGUUAAAGUGUUAAAUGGGAAUGAAGACCAGACUCCAGGGAGGCAAGCGUGGAGGGGCAUGGGGAUGGGGGACUCUGCCUGUCCACUCCUGAAAGAGGCCCCCAAACCCCUCCCACUUAGACCAACAACACCCACAUGCCAGGAGCCCCCUUCCGUCAUCAAGACCUGGUGGCAAGCACCCCUCUUACUCCCAUGGAACAGAUGAGGAAACGAGUCUGGGGGAUGGACACCAUCUGUGGCAGGGUGGGCUCGCCUGGGCCACCAGACAGAAGCCCCUGAUCCCUGACAGCCUGGUGCCUGCAGCAGCCCAUUCCCCUGGCCAUGGGGUCUGGGGGCUGACCCUGCUGAUGCCCAGGGGCCCAGCAGGGGAUUUGCCAAGUUUCUCCCACCUCCCUCUUGGCCUGAAGUAUUCAUCUGGGCAAGGCAGAGAAAGCUGGGAGCAAGAGAGACUCCCAGGGCCUGAGGAACAAGGGCGUCCCAGGCCUUAGGCAGGCAGGGGCUGACCCCAAAGCAGGGCUCCUGCCCCAAGGACAGCCAAGGUUGUGAGGCCCUGCUCCUGGGCACACUCAGCCCACUGCAGUCUGGGGUGUGACCUUGGGAACUGUUGGCCCUCUGCACAGUGUGCAUCCCACCUCAUCCACUGUUAAGGUCUGUGUGCCCAGCCUGGACUCCCACUGCUGAGCUCGAGACCUGGGGGUAAGACCUUAUGGAAUCUGAGGGGCUCCCACUUUGGCCACCCCAAAGCUCCUGCAUCCUUCCCUAGCCUGCUGGAGGCCCAGGAAGGGAGGACAAGGGACUGAGAGCAUAUUUAGCCCUCCAGGUCCUGAGCACCCUCUUCCCAGAGCACCCCUGCGAAGUGGGUCAGGGCUUUGGGCCUCCAUGCCCAUCUCUAGGGCAGGGCUUACUGCCUGUGGGCAGCUCUUUCUGAAAAGAAAGAGCUCAGAUUCCUGGAGAAAGCUGGAGUCUCCCAGUCCACGUCUGUCCCUCCCAUCACCCCUCCCAUAGCCAACCCUGGGUGGGCCUCAGGACCCACAGGAUAGGCUGUUCUCAGACCGUCCAGCCUGUCCUGCCACCCCCCAGAUCCUUCCAGAGGGGUCCUGCCAUGCACCACCUGACCCACUGGCCAAGUCUUCAGCAUGGCUGGCCGCUCCCUUGGGCUGGACCCCUCCAAGUUCCCACACUGUGUCAUCUGGGGGUGGCUCAAAGAUGCAGAAGGUCCCUCUGCCACAUGGAUGGGCCUGUGGGAAGGCCUUGGCUCCACAUCAUCUGUCCCACAGUCCUGAGGGCCACACAGCCAGGCUGCAGCUGAGCCAGAGCCCACUCUCUGGCUGCUUCAGGGAUAAACCAAGAAGUCCCAGGAGACAGCUCCCCCUCCCUG
rnacentral:lncRNA from 1 species